rnacentral:tmRNA from 1 species
GGCCACUCUAUGCUUGAGUUCCGCAGCCAAGUGGCCCAUAAUCGUUUUCAUAGUCGUAAUUCCGGCAAACCGGAAGCGUUCUGGACGCGGGUUCGAUUCCCGCCACCUCCACCACUGAGGGGGUGUACUGGUUUCGACAGGGUGACAGAAGGCGCGCAGGCGGCUCGAGAGGCGACGGACGUAAUCCGCGCAAAUCUGUAAACGCCAACGAUGAGCGUUUCGCACUGGCCGCUUAGGCCUGCUGAGGACGUAGCCGUCCAAUAAACAGAAUGGCUAUCGGCGGGGGCUUCGGCCCCCGCCGUCA